CCUCCAUGAUCCUAUGCUGCCGAGAAAAGCCUCUAGCGAGCUGGUACAUGGCCCGUACCCCAAACCGACACAGGUGGUCAGGUAGAGAAUACUAAGGCGAUCGAGAGAACUGUGGUUAAGGAACUCGGCAAAAUGCCCCCGUAACUUCGGGAGAAGGGGGACCAGUCCUGGUGACGACAUUUACUGUCUGAGCUGGGGUUGGUCGCAGAGACCAGAGAGAAGCGACUGUUUACUAAAAACACAGGUCCGUGCGAAGUCGUAAGACGAUGUAUACGGACUGACGCCUGCCCGGUGCUGGAAGGUUAAGAGGACCGGUCAGCCACUUCGGUGGCGAAGCUGAGAAUUUAAGCCCCAGUAAACGGCGGUGGUAACUAUAACCAUCCUAAGGUAGCGAAAUUCCUUGUCGGGUAAGUUCCGACCUGCACGAAUGGCGUAACGACUUCUCUGCUGUCUCAACCACAGACUCGGCGAAAUUGCAGUACGAGUAAAGAUGCUCGUUACGCGCGGCAGGACGAAAAGACCCCGGGACCUUCACUAUAGCUUGGUAUUGGUGUUCGGUUCGGUUUGUGUAGGAUAGGUGGGAGACUGUGAAACUCGCACGCCAGUGUGGGUGGAGUCAUUGUUGAAAUACCACUCUGACCGUAUUGGACAUCUAACCUCGGACCAUGAUCUGGUUCAGGGACAGUGCCUGGUGGGUAGUUUAACUGGGGCGGUUGCCUCCUAAAAAGUAACGGGGGCGCCCAAAGGUUCCCUCAGCCUGGUUGGCAAUCAGGUGUUGAGUGUAAGUGCACAAGGGAGCUUGACUGUGAGACGUACAUGUCGAGCAGGGACGAAAGUCGGGACUAGUGAUCCGGCACCGGCAAGUGGAAGCGGUGUCGCUCAACGGAUAAAAGGUACCCCGGGGAUAACAGGCUGAUCUUCCCCAAGAGUCCAUAUCGACGGGAUGGUUUGGCACCUCGAUGUCGGCUCGUCGCAUCCUGGGGCUGGAGUAGGUCCCAAGGGUUGGGCUGUUCGCCCAUUAAAGCGGCACGCGAGCUGGGUUUAGAACGUCGUGAGACAGUUCGGUCUCUAUCCGCCGCGCGCGUAAGGAACUUGAGGAAACCUGUCCCUAGUACGAGAGGACCGGGACGGACGAACCUCUGGUGUGCCAGUUGUUCCACCAGGAGCACCGCUGGUUAGCUACGUUCGGAAGGGAUAACCGCUGAAAGCAUCUAAGCGGGAAGCCUGUUCCAAGAUGAGGUUUCUCACCACCUAGCGUGGUUAAGGCCCCCCACAGACCAUGGGGUUGAUAGGCCAGAACUGUAAGCACAGCAAUGUGUUCAGGUGACUGGUACUAAUCGGCCGAGGACUUACAU
rnacentral:rRNA from 1 species